rnacentral:lncRNA from 1 species
UCAGGAUGUGGACCUCAGUUACGAUUACAGGCCUCGGUGAAAGGGCAUGCUUCGGAUUGGAGGGCUUGGGCCAUAGCCCACCUCGGCAAUAUAUACCGCCUCUGCUGGAAUGCCACGUGGUUCGGCCUGAGUGGGUCAUUGGCCCAGGUAGGUUGGCUAAGUAUGACAAUACGCAACAAUAGUUCCCCAAGUCCAAGUAUAAAUAUUUAUGUCAUGGUUGGAGUUUGAGAUGUGCUGCUGUAAGCAAAUGAUGAAGAGACCGAGGCUAUGUUGAGGUGGAAGCCGAGGUGGUUGGGUAACCGAACCUGCUAGGCUUGUAGGCCGAUCAUUGAAGUUGAAACCGAGGUGGUUGGGAAACCGAACUUGCGAGGCUUGUAGACUGAUCGUUGAAGGUGAAGCUGAGGUGGUUGGAAAACCGAACCUGCGAGGCUUGUAGGCUGAUCGUUGAAGUUGAAGCUGAGGUGGUUGGGUAAUCGAACCUGCGAAGCUUGUAGGCUGAUCGUUGAAGUUGAAUCCGAGGUGGUUGGGUAAUCGAACCUGCGAGGCUUGUAGGCUGAUCGUUGAAGUUGAAGCCGAGAUUCGAUGGGAAUGAUUGUGCGUCAAUAGCUGCGCCAAUGAUUUGAUGUUUUGUACUUAUUUUUGAGAAAAAGCGGCUGACCCGUACGACUUCCAGGGUGCCUGCUGCCGUCGAAUUAAAAACACAAUUAUGAG